rnacentral:rRNA from 1 species
UGGGGAAUCUUGCGCAAUGGACGAAAGUCUGACGCAGCGACGCCGCGUGGGGGAUGAAGGCUUUCGGGUUGUAAACCCCUGUUGCCCGGGACGAACUUCUGGCUGUGGCCAGAUUGACGGUACCGGGUGAGGAAGCACCGGCUAACUCUGUGCCAGCAGCCGCGGUAAUACAGAGGGUGCGAGCGUUGUCCGGAAUCACUGGGCGUAAAGGGCGCGUAGGUGGCGCGGCCAGUCAAUGGUGAAAGCUCGACGCUCAACGUCGAGUCGGCCACUGAUACUGCCGCGCUGGAGCACUGUAGAGGCUCAUGGAAUUCCGGGUGUAGCGGUGGAAUGCGUAGAGAUCCGGAAGAACACCGGUGGCGAAGGCGGUGAGCUGGGCAGUUGCUGACACUGAGGCGCGACAGCGUGGGGAGCAAACAG